AUUUAAAUAGCUUAAAUAAGAGCGUGGUGUUGAAGGCACUAAUGUAAUUUUAUAUUUUUAAAUG
rnacentral:tRNA from 1 species